CUACGGGCCGCUGCAGUGAGGAAUAUUGCGCAAUGGGGGAAACCCUGACGCAGCGACGCCGCGUGGAUGAUGAAGGCCUUCGGGUCGUAAAAUCCUGUCAGAGGGGAAGAAGUGUAUGGUAGCUAAUAUCUGCCAUACUUGACGGUACCUUCAAAGGAAGCACCGGCUAACUCCGUGCCAGCAGCCGCGGUAAUACGGAGGGUGCAAGCGUUGGUCGGAAUUACUGGGCGUAAGGCGCGCGUAGGCGGUUUUAUAAGUCAGAUGUGAAAGGCCACGGCUCAACCAUGGAAGUGCAUUUGAAACUGUAAGACUUGAGUAUUGGAGGGGGUAGUGGAAUUCCCGGUGUAGAGGUGAAAUUCGUAGAUAUCGGGAGGAAUACCGGUGGCGAAGGCGACUAUCUGGCCAAAUACUGACGCUGAGGUGCGAAAGCGUGGGGAGCAAACAGGAUUAGAUACCCCCGUAGUC
rnacentral:rRNA from 1 species